rnacentral:rRNA from 1 species
AUUGAACGCUGGCGGCAGGCCUAACACAUGCAAGUCGAGCGGAUGAAGGGAGCUUGCUCCUGGAUUCAGCGGCGGACGGGUGAGUAAUGCCUAGGAAUCUGCCUGGUAGUGGGGGAUAACGUCCGGAAACGGGCGCUAAUACCGCAUACGUCCUGAGGGCGUAAGUGGGGGAUCUUCGGAUCUCACGCUAUCAGAUGAGCCUAGGUCGGAUUAGCUAGUUGGUGGGGUAAAGGCCUACCAAGGCGACGAUCCGUAACUGGUCUGAGAGGAUGAUCAGUCACACUGGAACUGAGACACGGUCCAGACUCCUACGGGAGGCAGCAGUGGGGAAUAUUGGACAAUGGGCGAAAGCCUGAUCCAGCCAUGCCGCGUGUGUGAAGAAGGUCUUCGGAUUGUAAAGCACUUUAAGUUGGGAGGAAGGGCAGUAAGUUAAUACCUUGCUGUUUUGACGUUACCAACAGAAUAAGCACCGGCUAACUUCGUG